rnacentral:rRNA from 1 species
AAGCGGUAAAAGCUCAAAUUUGAAAUCUGGUACUUUCAGUGCCCGAGUUGUAAUUUGUAGAAUUUGUCUUUGAUUAGGUCCUUGUCUAUGUUCCUUGGAACAGGACGUCAUAGAGGGUGAGAAUCCCGUUUGGCGAGGAUACCUUUUCUCUGUAAGACUUUUUCGAAGAGUCGAGUUGUUUGGGAAUGCAGCUCAAAGUGGGUGGUAAAUUCCAUCUAAAGCUAAAUAUUGGCGAGAGACCGAUAGCGAACAAGUACAGUGAUGGAAAGAUGAAAAGAACUUUGAAAAGAGAGUGAAAAAGUACGUGAAAUUGUUGAAAGGGAAGGGCAUUUGAUCAGACAUGGUGUUUUUUGCAUGCACUCGCCUCUCGUGGGCUUGGGCCUCUCAAAAAUUUCACUGGGCCAACAUCAAUUCUGGCAGCAGGAUAAAUCAUUAAGAAUGUAGCUACUUCGGUAGUGUUAUAGCUUUUUGGAAUACUGUUAGCCGGGAUUGAGGACUGCGCUUCGGCAAGGAUGUUGGCAUAAUGGUUAAAUGCCGCCCGUCUUGAAACACGGAC